rnacentral:rRNA from 1 species
GGGUUAGUAGGUUGGUCAUGCCUCUGGUAUAUACUGGUCUCACUGAUUCCUCCUUCCUGAUGAACCUUAAUGCCACUAAUUUGGUGUUUUGGGGAACUUGGACUGUUACUUUGAAAAAAUUAGGGUGUUUAAAGCAAGCUAACGCUUGAAUACAUUAGCAUGGAAUAAUGAAAUAGGACGUUCGAUCCUAUUUUGUUGGUUUCUAGGAUUGACGUA